UGUGAAAUUUUUAAUUUAAAGUAAACUCUUGAGAAAUCUGUUGAAACUAAAAAAUUUAGGUAAAAAACCAGGAUUAGAUACCCUGUUAUUCUAAAUAAUAAUUUAAAUAGGGUAGUAAAAGUUGUUCUUCAAACCCAAAGAUUUUGGCGGCAUCUUAUCCUAAUAGAGGAGCUUGUCCUAUAAUUGAUAGUCCUCAUUUUAUCUUACCCUCCUUCGUAAAGCUUGUAUACCGCCGUUGCCAGAUUACUUUAAAAGAACGUUUUCAAGAAAAAUAUUUUUCUUACUUCAGGUCAAGGUGCAGUUUAUGGGAGGGCAGUGAUGAGCUACAAUUUUUAAUAAAAACACGGAUUUUAGGUUUAAAACCCGGGUAAAGGUGGAUUUAUUAGUAAACUUACUUAAGUAUAGUAAGUUGAAUAGGGCAAUGAGA
rnacentral:rRNA from 1 species